AUGGGAAGAGGUAUGGCAAGCAGUGGUGAUUUGAGGUUUGGAAGAGAAAUAGACACCUCAAGUGGCUUCACAUCAGGUCUAUGCUUUUUCCCUAACUCCUCUUCAGAUUCAUCAUCAGAGAAGGGAGGAAAAUCAAUACCAUCAGUUGAGAUUAAAGUUGUUUCAAAUGGUUUAGGAUUGUGGGAACGAAAAGAAUGGAAGUAUUGUGCUGCAAGUGUUAUGGACAAAAAAAAUUAUCUGCAGCAACUUAAAGAUACCGCAGAAUGA
rnacentral:lncRNA from 1 species